UAUACUCUACUUGUAGAAUGGGGAGAAAGUUCAGAGUUAUGUCUUACGUGAUGGAUAUUCUAUUCAUUGCAGUUUGGUUUUUAUCAGAUGAUGUGCUAGGAAACGCCAUCAACUCAGAAAGACAUCAACUGGAGGCUAAACCUGGAGAAACAGUAACAUUAUCCUGUAACUAUUCAUCUAGUAGCUCUUCCCCAUAUCUGUACUGGUAUCGUCAGUACUCCCACCAAAUGCAGUAUAUCCUCAGCCGGGGGGCAAAGAGCUAUUCAAGCUUCAAACGUGAGAAUCCAGAUUUGGAGCCUAAAAAAUUCCAGUCAGAGACCAGCGAUACAUCCGCCUCUUUAUCCAUCUCCAGCCUGACCGUGUCUGAUUCUGCCUUGUACUUGUGUGCUCUCGGUGAUGGGGCACAGUGGUGA